CACGUAGGGCGCAAGCGUUGUCCGGAAUUAUUGGGCGUAAAGAGCUCGUAGGCGGUCUGUUGCGUCCGCUGUGAAACUCGGGGCUUAACCCCGAGCCUGCAGUGGAUACGGGCAGACUAGAGGUAGGUAGGGGAGAAUGGAAUUCCCGGUGUAGCGGUGAAAUGCGCAGAUAUCGGGAGGAACACCGGUGGCGAAGGCGACUUCCUGGCCUGUUCUUGACGCUGAGGCGCGAAAGCUAGGGUAGCAAACAGG
rnacentral:rRNA from 1 species